rnacentral:lncRNA from 1 species
CUUUGAGAUUCCUGAACUCUUUUCCUUUUGAUGCUCAGAUGCAAUGAUGAAGUUGUAGGCUAAAUGCUCUCUUCAAUUAAAAAAGGGAAAAGGACAACAAAAGGGGUAACUCCAGCAGGAGUGGGUGAGUAAAUGUGCUCUGCCAGAAUAACUGAGCUUGAUGCCCAGGAUAUUCACUUAUCAUGUGUGAAGCUAAAUCCCUGAUCUACCUUUUCAGAGCCAGGCAUGAAUGUAAGCCUCUCCCAUUCAAGAGGAAUCUCCUUAUUUCAUCCCCCUAUAAGAUUCCUGCAGGUCCUUUGUUUUCCUUUUUCUUUUUCUCCUGACCACUACAUUUGUGAAAUCCUGGUAAUGCCUAUUUGUUCUGUCCAUUGAAGGGCCGUCUGCAUCUGCCUGCUCUCAAAGACAUGAACUAUGAAUUUGUAGUAAUUCUAAAAACAUUAAUUCCCAUAAAAAUAGUUAAUAGCCAGACUUCACGUUUGACAAAACACUUAGCACGGUCAAGUAAGAUGGUUAAGUUUGUUUAAUACACAAAUACAGUAUGUUUUUACUCAUUUAGUUUAAAAGUCUCUUCUUCCUAUUUAGCAGUUUGCUAAUGAGAAUACCUGUAUAACAGUAAUGCUUUAAUGGUAUUUACUAACAUAAAUAUUUGCUUUCUAGAAGCAAUGUUACACAAAAUUCCUGAACUGCAGUCUAAGCAACUGCUGGAAUGUUUGAGGUGUUUUAUACAUGUACCUACCAGGAGUGCAGUCUGGUGCUCAGGAGACCAUUCUGGAAAAUGGGAUGACCCAGGUUCUGAUGCAUGUCAUUCCCAAAUCUGAGUGUCUUGGAGUUAAUAUAUAAAAAAUAGAAUAAAACAAUUUCUGAAGCAGACA